rnacentral:rRNA from 1 species
GAUGAACGCUGGCGGCGUGCCUAAUACAUGCAAGUCGAGCGAAUGGAUUAAGAGCUUGCUCUUAUGAAGUUAGCGGCGGACGGGUGAGUAACACGUGGGUAACCUGCCCAUAAGACUGGGAUAACUCCGGGAAACCGGGGCUAAUACCGGAUAACAUUUUGAACCGCAUGGUUCGAAAUUGAAAGGCGGCUUCGGCUGUCACUUAUGGAUGGACCCGCGUCGCAUUAGCUAGUUGGUGAGGUAACGGCUCACCAAGGCAACGAUGCGUAGCCGACGUGAGAGGGGGAUCGGCCACACUGGGGCUGGGACACGGCCCAGAAUCCUACGGGAGGCAGCAGUAGGGAAUCUUCCGCAAUGGACGAAAGUCUGACGGAGCAACGCCGCGUGGGUGAUGAAGGCUUUCGGGUCGUAAAACUCUGUUGUUAGGGAAGAACAAGUGCUAGUUGAAUAAGCUGGCACCCUGACGGUACCUAACCAGAAAGCCACGGCUAACUACGUGCCAGCCGCCGCUGUAA